UACGAAGGGGGCUAGCGUUGUUCGGAAUUACUGGGCGUAAAGCGCACGUAGGCGGAAUGUUAAGUCAGGGGUGAAAUCCCGGGGCUCAACCCCGGAACUGCCUUUGAUACUGGCAUUCUCGAGUCCGGAAGAGGUGAGUGGAAUUCCGAGUGUAGAGGUGAAAUUCGUAGAUAUUCGGAGGAACACCAGUGGCGAAGGCGGCGACCUGGACAGAUAUUGACGCUGAGGUGCGAAAGCGUGGGGAGCAAACAGG
rnacentral:rRNA from 1 species